rnacentral:rRNA from 1 species
AUUGAACGCUGGCGGCAUGCCUUACACAUGCAAGUCGAACGGCAGCACGGGUGCUUGCACCUGGUGGCGAGUGGCGAACGGGUGAGUAAUACAUCGGAACAUGUCCUGUAGUGGGGGAUAGCCCGGCGAAAGCCGGAUUAAUACCGCAUACGAUCCGCGGAUGAAAGCGGGGGACCUUCGGGCCUCGCGCUAUAGGGUUGGCCGAUGGCUGAUUAGCUAGUUGGUGGGGUAAAGGCCUACCAAGGCGACGAUCAGUAGCUGGUCUGAGAGGACGACCAGCCACACUGGGACUGAGACACGGCCCAGACUCCUACGGGAGGCAGCAGUGGGGAAUUUUGGACAAUGGGCGAAAGCCUGAUCCAGCAAUGCCGCGUGUGUGAAGAAGGCCUUCGGGUUGUAAAGCACUUUUGUCCGGAAAGAAAUCCUUGGCUCUAAUACAGUCGGGGGAUGACGGUACCGGAAGAAUAAGCACCGGCUAACUACGUG